rnacentral:rRNA from 1 species
AUUGAACGCUGGCGGCAGGCCUAACACAUGCAAGUCGAGCGGAUGAAGGGAGCUUGCUCCUGGAUUCAGCGGCGGACGGGUGAGUAAUGCCUAGGAAUCUGCCUGGUAGUGGGGGAUAACGUCCGGAAACGGGCGCUAAUACCGCAUACGUCCUGAGGGAGAAAGUGGGGGAUCUUCGGACCUCACGCUAUCAGAUGAGCCUAGGUCGGAUUAGCUAGUUGGUGGGGUAAAGGCCUACCAAGGCGACGAUCCGUAACUGGUCUGAGAGGAUGAUCAGUCACACUGGAACUGAGACACGGUCCAGACUCCUACGGGAGGCAGCAGUGGGGAAUAUUGGACAAGGGGCGAAAGCCUGAUCCAGCCAUGCCGCGUGUGUGAAGAAGGUCUUCGGAUUGUAAAGCACUUUAAGUUGGGAGGAAGGGCAGUAAGUUAAUACCUUGCUGUUUUGACGUUACCAACAGAAGAAGCACCGGCUAACUUCGUG